AGAGUUUGAUCAUGGCUCAGAACGUACGCUGGCGGCACGCCUAACACAUGCAAGUCGAACGAAGUAGCAAUACUUAGUGGCGAACGGGUGAGUAUAAUGUGGGUAUCUGCCUUUUGGUUUGGAAUAACACGAGGAAACUUGUGCUAAUACCGGAUAAGUCUUUACGGAGAAAGCUUUAUGCACCAUUGGAUGAGCCUGCACUUGAUUAGUUUGUUGGUGGGGUAAUGGCCUACCAAGACAAUGAUCAAUAGCUGAUUUGAGAGGAUGAUCAGCCACAUUGGGACUGAGACACGGCCCAAACUCCUACGGGAGGCAGCAGUAGGGAAUCUUGCACAAUGGAGGAAACUCUGAUGCAGCGAUGCCGCGUGAGUGAAGAAGGCCUUUGGGUUGUAAAGCUCUUUCGUCGGGGAAGAAAAUGACUGUACCCGAAUAAGAAGGUCCGGCUAACUUCGUGCCAGCAGCCGCGGUAAUACGAAGGGACCUAGCGUAGUUCGGAAUUACUGGGCUUAAAGAGUUCGUAGGUGGUUAAAAAAGUUGGUGGUGAAAUCCCAGAGCUUAACUCUGGAACUGCCAUCAAAACUUUUUAGCUAGAGUAUGAUAGAGGAAAGCAGAAUUUCUAGUGUAGAGGUGAAAUUCGUAGAUAUUAGAAAGAAUACCAAUUGCGAAGGCAGCUUUCUGGAUCAUUACUGACACUGAGGAACGAAAGCAUGGGUAGCGAAGAGGAUUAGAUACCCUCGUAGUCCAUGCCGUAAACGAUGUGUGCUAGACGUUGGAAAUUUAGUUUUCAGUGUCGCAGCGAAAGCGUUAAGCACACCGCCUGGGGAGUACGACCGCAAGGUUAAAACUCAAAUGAAUUGACGGGGACCCGCACAAGUAGUGGAGCAUGUGGUUUAAUUCGAAGAUACGCGCAGAACCUUACCAACACUUGACAUGUUCGUCGCGACUCUAAGAGAUUAGAGUUUUCGGUUCGGCCGGACGAAACACAGGUGCUGCAUGGCUGUCGUCAGCUCGUGUCGUGAGAUGUUGGGUUAAGUCCCGCAACGAGCGCAA
rnacentral:rRNA from 1 species